GGGUGUGUAGCUCAGCUGGCUAGAGCACUUCACUGAUAAUGAAGAGGUCGGAGGUUCGAGUCCUCCCACACCCACCU
rnacentral:tRNA from 1 species